rnacentral:rRNA from 1 species
UUGCUAAUACCUUAUACUCCGUUUAUGUAUAAAUGUAAAUGGGAAAGAUUUAUCGGUAAGAGAUUGGCCUGUAUUGUAUCAGUUAGUUGGUGGGGUAAUGGCCUACCAAGACAAUGACGCAUAACUGGUUUGAGAGGAUGAUCAGUCACACUGGAACUGAGACACGGUCCAGACUCCUACGGGAGGCAGCAGUGGGGAAUAUUGCACAAUGGACGGAAGUCUGAUGCAGCAACGCCGCGUGGAGGAUGACACAUUUCGGUGCGUAAACUCCUUUUAUAUAAGAAGAUAAUGACGG